rnacentral:rRNA from 1 species
UAGGGAAUUUUUCACAAUGAGCGAAAGCUUGAUGGAGCAAUGCCGCGUGAACGAUGAAGGUCUUUAAGAUUGUAAAGUUCUUUUAUUUGGGAAGAAUGACUUUAGCAGGUAAUGGCUAGAGUUUGACUGUACCAUUUUGAAUAAGUGACGACUAACUAUGUGCCAGCAGUCGCGGUAAUACAUAGGUCGCAAGCGUUAUCCGGAUUUAUUGGGCGUAAAGCAAGCGCAGGCGGAUUGAAAAGUCUGGUGUUAAAGGCAGCUGCUUAACAGUUGUAUGCAUUGGAAACUAUUAAUCUAGAGUGUGGUAGGGAGUUUUGGAAUUUCAUGUGGAGCGGUGAAAUGCGUAGAUAUAUGAAGGAACACCAGUGGCGAAGGCGAAAACUUAGGCCAUUACUGACGCUUAGGCUUGAAAGUGUGGGGAGCAAAUAGGAUUAGAUACCCUAGUAGUCCACACUGUAAACGAUAGAUACUAGCUGUCGGGGCGAUCCCCUCGGUAGUGAAGUUAACACAUUAAGUAUCUCGCCUGGGUAGUACAUUCGCAAGAAUG